UACGUAGGUGGCAAGCGUUAUCCGGAAUUAUUGGGCGUAAAGCGUCCGCAGGUGGCUCAUCAAGUCUGCUGUCAAAGGCAGGGGCUUAACCCCUGAAAGGCAGUGGAAACUGGGGAGCUAGAGUGCAGUAGGGGUAGAGGGAAUUCCACGUGUAGCGGUGAAAUGCGUAGAGAUGUGGAGGAACACCAGUGGCGAAGGCGACUCUUUGGUCUGUAACUGACGCUGAGGCGCGAAAGCGUGGGGAGCAAACAGG
rnacentral:rRNA from 1 species